UACGUAGGGGGCAAGCGUUGUCCGGAAUCAUUGGGCGUAAAGCGCGUGUAGGCGGCUCGAUAAGUCGGCUGUGAAAGUCCAGGGCUCAACCCUGGAAUGCCGGCCGAUACUGUCGAGCUAGAGUCCGGAAGAGGCGAGUGGAAUUCCUGGUGUAGCGGUGAAAUGCGCAGAUAUCAGGAGGAACACCUAUGGCGAAGGCAGCUCGCUGGGACGUUACUGACGCUGAGACGCGAAAAGCGUGGGGGAGCAAACAGG
rnacentral:rRNA from 1 species